rnacentral:rRNA from 1 species
GAUGAACGCUAGCGGGAGGCUUAACACAUGCAAGUCGAGGGGCAGCAUAGGGUAGCAAUACUCUGAUGGCGACCGGCAAACGGGUGAGUAACGCGUAUGUAACCUACCCUGUACAGGGGGAUAACCCGGAGAAAUUCGGACUAAUAUCCCAUAACAAUAUCCGGGGGCAUCUUUGGAUAUUUAAAGUUCCGGCGGUACGGGAUGGGCAUGCGUAACAUUAGCUAGUUGGUAAGGUAACGGCUUACCAAGGCUUUGAUGUUUAGGGGUCCUGAGAGGGUGGUCCCCCACACUGGUACUGAGACACGGACCAGACUCCUACGGGAGGCAGCAGUGAGGAAUAUUGGUCAAUGGGCGCAAGCCUGAACCAGCCAUCCCGCGUGCAGGAAGACGGCGCUAUGCGUUGUAAACUGCUUUUCCAGGGAGAGAAACUUGCGCACGUGUUGCGCAAUUGACGGUACCUGGGAAUAAGCAUCGGCUAACUCCGUGCCAGCAGCCGCGGUAAACUGUCUACG